rnacentral:rRNA from 1 species
CCCCUAGAUGUUCUGGGCCGCACGCGCGCUACACUGAACAGUUCAACAAGUCUUAACCUUGGCCGAUAGGUCUGGGUAUCUUUGAACGCUGUUCGUGAUUGGGAUAGACCUUUGCAAUUAUGGGUCUUCAACGAGGAAUUCCUAGUAAACGCAAGUCAUCAGCUUGCAUUGAUUACGUCCCUGCCCUUUGUACACACCGCCCGUCGCACCUACCGAUUGAAUGGUCCGGUGAAAUCUCGGGACGGCGGCUCGGUCGCUUGCGUCCGACUGCUGAAACUUGAUUAAACCAUAUCAUUUAGAGGAAGGUGAAGUCGUAACA